AUAAUUAAAUGAAGUGCUGAAGCCAUUUUAUAUCCUGGUGCAAUAACUUCGACACUUCAAAUUACAGAGGCAAUUGGAUACUUACUUUCUCCUUGCUCACAUGUGCUCUGUCAAGCUUAAAGAAUGGACGCUUGUCCUGCUUACUCUGUUAAGAAGUUCUAAGGUGUUUUUUGACUUAUUCAGACAUGAUGUUCGGUUGUGAAAAGCAUGCAGCACCACACUGCAGGUAUAUAUAAUCUAGAUUACUGUUGAAACUAUAGCAUGUCAGUUUGUACACUAAAUUAUAACUAAUAUAGCAUAUAUGAUAUAACUAUGAUUCAUGCCUAUUAUGUGUGCACUGCAGUUACACCCUACAUUUGGGAACUGCUUAU